CGCGCACAUGGCAGCGCGGGGUGGUAAGUAACAUCCAACCGAGGGGUGUGUUGACAUUACCGCUGCUGAAUGCAACGUGUCAUUCAGUGCCAGUUGUAUCCGCAUGCGGAUACUUUUAAGGACUGUGGUGAACUUCAGUUGUGGUUAAGCGGUUCCCAAACUCCGACCCACUCACCUCCUCUGACACCGACGCUGGGCUGCAGUUUGGCCGCUAAGAUGACCAGCACUAUCCCGAUGAUGAACCACUCCUUCCGUAUCCUCGCCAAGAGGCCCAUGUUUCAGCCCCGGGGUUCACCGGAUCACCCCGCCGGGCCCCUGUCACACCAGCCGGACCCAAGUUGUACAACUCCUCAGCUUCUCCUCUGGAGGUUUUUCUGUCAGGAAACAGAAGCAGCGCAACCGGAGCUUUUUUUCCGGACACAUGGGCCUGACCAGGCCGUAAAGACUGAAGGAGAGGCGCAGCAGUUUUUUUUUCCGAUUACCGCGUUACAGGUAACAAAACGGUUCGUCUGGAGUGUUGCGGCUUCCCACCGUCUCGUUUCUCUCCUAAAUGAUGAGUAACAUUGACUAUUCAAGUUUCAGCAUCAUGGUUUUUAUUAUUAUUCAGACCUUCAUCCUCCUCCUCU